UAUAUCAUAUUGCGCGUGGAAUCUACUGUCGUCUUUUAACGAUAGUCGUAUUUUUAUCGUUUUGCUUAACAUGGUUACGGGCUACGAUAAGAAUACCACGUCGAUAUCGUAUAAAGUUAUCCACUAUCAUUCGUAAGUGACCACGAUUGUCUAUGCCUAGAGUUUAUGAAAAAUCCAUUUAAUGCCUGGCUUUAUUAAAAUGUCGGACGUGCGUCGGACGAUGUUUGAAAACGAAUAGUUAGUUUUAUUACUACACUUCCAAAUUGAAAAAUGUUUAAAUGAGUGACAGCUUUAUACAAAUUGACUUACAUUAUAACAUGCACGGAUAAUCGUGUUUUCUCAACUGACAAUUCACUUGACAUUGACAAGCAUCGCGUACGCGCAUGAUUCAGUGAAUUUAGUGAACAUACAAACUAAGUCGAAGAAAAAUACUGAUUUGCUGUGUGAACUAAAGGAAAUGCCACCCAAAAUGUAAGUUUCUCUAAUUUAUUUAUAGAAAAAGUUAUAGUUCGUUUGAUCAUUAACUGGUUUUGUCAUGAAUAUGUUUAAUUUCAGACGAUGCUUCGGCGCACAAGAAAAUGCUAGCCAAAUAUAUAUAACUCAGCAUCCCCUGUUCGCCUACACCUACAGGGAGAUCCAUGAGCCUCUCGGAAGCCAGAGAUACAAAAUGCAAUGCUUCACAUUGCACAUAACUUCUAAGAUCCAGAAGAAAGGAUUGAAGAUGGUCCGUCGGGCCUGGGCAUUAUGAUCAUCGAGGGGCGGCACACGGAAGCCGGCCGAGGAAUCUUCGUCUCCGACUUACAAGAAGGCAGCGCUGCCGAACAGUCAUGACAUAUUGGAGGCUUGAAAGUGCACAUACCCAUACAUUGGACGUUAAGCUCAACGAGACCAUGCGAUGCAUCUCAGGCACUAUCCGAUCUACAACCGCCACUGGCUGCCGGCAUUGAGUCACAUUGCCCCUCCUCACAUCCGACGACUCAAGGCGUUGAAGAGGGAGGCUGAGAAUAUCACGAAUAACCCCACCCUGACCCUGUGCUACAGCUGGGAGCCUGAGCAGCUUUAAUAUUUCGGAUAGGUGGAUAGCGGAUUGGUCAGCUUCGGCAGCUCGGAGUUGCUGUAUAUCUGACCCAACUAAAAAACCAAAAGGGUUUGACCUUCCUCGGAAAAUCUGGUGCCGCCUGAGAACCGGACACUCAUACCCUGGGCCUGUUGAGGACCUGAAGACCGUGACACCUGACUUGGUUGCUUAGCUUGGCAACCUCAAGGCUACACUCUGAAUGCCACUUUAUUGGAGCAUUCCACGAGCUGUCCCGUACAAACGCAUUUUAUUUCCUGUGUUGCGACUUUUUUUUUUCGCCAUUUAAAGCAAGCGAAUAAUUUUCCGUGCAUGUUUGACCAUUUGUCAUAGAAAAGGAAACUCUUAUACCUGCAAAUCUCCAGAAAAUCUGCAUUUCUACGGGACAAACGGUAGUCAAUUUCAUGGAAUGCUCCAUUGCCAAAACAUGAUAAGUUGAUGGCAGAAAAAAUAUUAGGAAUACAAACCAUAUACCUACAUAUAAAUUCUAUGUUAAGUAUGUACUAAGUUAUUCUAGGUUAAGUACUAACUUAUUGUCUACUCUAUACAUAGGUAAUUACAUUUAGCAAGACAUGUUGGCCGUGGGUACCAAGCUCAGCAUGUGCUAGACUGGUGUCCAGCGCUGGUUUUCAGUUUGGCCCCUUUUUGUUGGAGGUCUGAGAGGAAUGUUGAUCUUUUCUACACCGUUAAGCAUUCUAUUUAUAUUGGAAACGAAACUUAUAGAUGAGCAGUUAUGAAAUAGCAAUAAAUGUGCCCCGGGCGACGUCCAAGGGGGGGCGCCAAAAUGGGCUAAAGACUACCUCUCCGCCUUGCCAAAGGCAGCAGGGAAACUUUUGUCAGUCGUAUUUACCACCACUGUGAAGUGUGAAAUGCGGAUGGUAAUCUGGCCCACAGCGCAAAGGGAGAAAGACGAUCUUUUAGGAACUCUUUUUGCAUCGAACUCGAUCUUGAAAGACGACGGUAGCGCCCUACCGCCCACCAUCCCGUAGUGUGAAUACUCUAUGCCAGAAACUUCUAUCAAGCAGAGGGAUAUUCGGCGGGAGUUGCUAUGCUUUCGUUUUAUAAGGCGAGCGGGCCAAGUGCUUCAGAGUUGUGUCCAGUGUUAGCGCGUCUUUUACGUUAGGGGUCUCCUGUCGAAGUUACCAUCUUAUGGACUGUCCAAUAGACUACCUAUGCAAGUGGAUCGCUAGCCCUUUAUCCGGCUGGCGCAUAUGAGCCGUAGUUGACGGAACCUGAUGCUUCAAUAGCUGCUGCUGCAUAUCUGUGACAUGUUGUCUAUCGACGACAUUCAUCGAUAUGUGGACUACUGAGGAUUCCUAUACACUAUACAGGAUGGCUAAAAAAUAAUUACAUUCCCGUUGCCAGGGAGGUUUUGGGAUUAUACUGAGCAACUUUUGCUACGGGACCAACCUCGAAAUCGCGAAAAAAAGAGUUUACCCUCCCAUAGACUUUCGACCAGCCAAAACGUAUGAAACAGCCAAAUUUUUUUCGCGACUUAGGGGUUGGUCCCAUUUCGUUAGUUCAUUUCGUUUCGGAGAGGGGGGGGGGGGAGGCGCAAAUUUGGUGCCUGCCCCGGGCGCCAUAUCCUCUAGCUACGCCACUGCCCUCGCUCCGAGACGUUCCUGGUACAAAAGCUGUUCAUAGUAUAAUAAUCCAGCGAUAAAGCUGCUGGCAUGAUGGGCACUUUCACACCGGGUACGGCAGUGAAUGAUUUGUUUGUACACCUACAUUUAAUGUGUAAAUAAACUUUGUUUAAUUUUUUGGCAAUAGUUGUUUUAUUUACGCAUUUAUAAUAUUCUC